GGGGUUGUGGCUCAGUGGUAGAGCACUCACCUACCAAGUGUGAGUCACUGGGUUUGAUCCUCAGCACCA
rfam:Ictidomys tridecemlineatus contig096736, whole genome shotgun sequence.